rnacentral:misc_RNA from 1 species
UAUCCGGCAACCUAAUGUCUUUCACCGCAGUGAAGGCAUAGGUUAUAGGUUAUCAAAUCGGUUACAUUCGAGGUUGAGAUAUGGAAGUUUUCGUUGUAACGUUCUUGAUCCGAGUAUUAUUUUAAAAGAUAGGUCCUCAAAGAAAAUAAGGAAAAGUUUUGCACAUAGCGGUGGUUUGAAUUCGAGUUUGGUAUUCGGCGGAGUAUUUCAUAGUCAUUUAUCAAGUGCAUAUCCGAGUAACUCAUUGUUCUGUAGUUUUGCUGAUGUUUUUAAGGUGUCAAGGGGAUUUAGGUCACGGUGUCAAGGUAAUGAUUCCUUAGCAUACAUUGAUGGGAAUGAUCGAAGUGUAGAAUUA